CUCCAUCAUUAUACAUAAAAUAAACAAUUCAAUAGUAAACUUAUUUUCACCCACACCCAAUCUCAAUCAUAAUUUAAUACUCAAUCAAUUUAAACUAAACGAUCCGAAGAACGUUCUCCAGCAUCAACUUUGCUCAUAACACCCAUUGUUGCACUUGCAUUGUUCCCAUCCUUUGUUGAUCUCAUCGAACCAACCCGGCCCAAAAAAGAUGGGGCACACGUGAACCCUUUUUGGUCCAGCCGGCUCUCCACAUUGAACCGCUCAUAUUGUAGAAAGUUCCUCCCCACACUCCUUGUUCGGUAACCCCUUUUCCCACUACCUAAUGUAGCUUCCCAGGUCUUUGUUCGGCGCAACGUGAUAUCAUUCAUUAAUCGAUUAUGCACUUCAUCCGGCAAUCUCAACGUGAACCGCUCACAAUCCUCAUCCGACCGAACCAUUAAUUGACCCGUUGAUUUAGACCGAGAAAACAAUCUCAUAAACCCAAACCCCACUGACAUGGACCGAACGGGAGUCCGGUUCAUACCAUCAAAAUUCACACUUGGACUCACUAUUAAAACUUUUUUCUUCUCAUCCAAACCAACCGGUUCAAUAACAUCGGGCUCAUGAUUAAAAACGGGUUCAGCCAAAUUUGGUUCAGAGAUCUGUAUCUGAACAGAAGAACCUGCAUCAUCCGAACCGGGAACAAGUUCAGCUCGACAAACCGGACAAGUAGAGUGAUGCAACAACCAAACAUCAACACAAUCACGAUGAAAUACAUGGCUACAAUUAGGAAUCAAACGCAGCGUUUCAUCAUCCGCAAACUCAUUUAAACACACUGCACAUUCUAACGUGACUCUUCCAAUCUUGAGAUCCUUCACCUCAGAAUAUACAAAUUUCGGAAAAUUUUCAAUGAUCGUUGGAUCAAGACCGCGUGAUUGCCGGCAAACAUCACCACCGGUAACCGGAGCAGUUAGAUCGACCCUUCCUCGUAUUCUUCGUUCUCUACAUUGGCGAGUGUAGAUUGAAAUAAAACCUAAUGUGAAGAAAACCAUGACGAGUAUCACAAGGACUGAUGCCAUAGUUUUGUCGAACUUCAUUUUCGCGAAUGCAUCUUGCGGUGGUGAUGGCUGAGCAGUUGCCGGAAAGAUGAAAGAAAGAAAAAGAAGAAGAAAAGGAAACGGUUGCCAUGCAUGGCGGUGAAAUUUUUUACAGAGUUGUAAGAGAGUGAGAGAUGGUGCGGGUGCAGGGAAUAUGGUGUGAAUGCGCAUAGUGAAUCAUAGAGGUGAAGUGUGAAGGUGUGAAAAUUUGCUGUGAGAGCAAGAAAAGAAUAGUGAUGGCGAUGGAAUUUGUGUACUCUUUUACGUUUCUUGUUAUUGAGAAAGUUUGUUGUUCCUUAAGAGUAACGUAAAAUGGAGUUUUGAUUAAUAAAAAGUAAAGUGUGAUUAUGACGUUAUGGAUUUAAUGGAUCGAUUUGGUCUUUU
rnacentral:lncRNA from 1 species